CACGUAGGGGGCGAGCGUUGUCCGGAUUUAUUGGGCGUAAAGAGCUCGUAGGCGGCUCGGUAAGUCGACUGUGAAAGCUCCGGGCUCAACUCGGAGAGGCCAGUCGAUACUGCUGUGGCUAGAGUCCGGUAGGGGAGCGUGGAAUUCCUGGUGUAGCGGUGAAAUGCGCAGAUAUCAGGAGGAACACCAGCGGCGAAGGCGGCUCUCUGGACCGGAACUGACGCUGAGGAGCGAAAGCGUGGGUAGCAAACAGG
rnacentral:rRNA from 1 species